rnacentral:misc_RNA from 1 species
AACCAUUCUCACCUGCGGCUAGACCUGCGGAAGGAUCAUUACACAAUACAAUAUGAAGGCUGUCCGCAGCUGGAGUAUUUUAUUACCCUUGUCUUUUGCGCACUUGUUGUUUCCUGGGCGGGUUCGCUCGCCACCAGGACCACCAAAUAAACCUUUUUUAUGCAGUUGCAAUCAGCGUCAGUACAAACAAUGUAAAUCAUUUACAACUUUUAACAACGGAUCUCAGAUCGGAAGAGCACA